GAGUAUUUAUCAAAUAUGGCGGGCAACGAAGUUCCGUUUUCAGAUUCACUCAAAACACAGGCGAAUAUGCAGCAAUCUUUACCCUUUCAGAAUGUCCCAAAGGCAGAUGUUUCCGACAAACAAACACUCUUAGCAGUAUUGCAGUUUUUGAAGAAAAAUAAUUUGAAGGGAACAGAAGAAUUAUUGAAAAGAGAGGCUUCCAUAAAAGAUGAUGACGUCCGUCCGCAAACCUCUUCUCAAUCAGAAACUGAUGUUUCGCACGCAUUGGCAGCCUACAAAAGUGCUGAUGACCCAAGUCUGUUUACGGACUAUUAUACAGAUCUAAAAACAUUCAUAGAGUCCUGUUUGGAUGCUCACAAGGUUGAGCUGUCUGUUAUUCUUUAUCCAGUGUUCAUCCACAUGUAUCUUGAAAUGGUCUACAAUGAACAUGAAUCCUAUGCUAUUUUAUUCUUCCGGCGGUUCUCCAAAGAACAAGAAGAUUUUUAUCAGGAAGACUUACAAAAGUUAGCAACUGUCACUAAAAAAGAACACAUGAAAGGGAAUGAACUUAUGGAGAGUUUUAAAGCCAGUAAGUUUGUGAUCAAGAUGUCCCGAGAUUCGUACAACCACCUGAAGCGCUAUCUCCAGGAGAACAAAAUGAAGCCCUUGUUAAACAUCAUUCAGGAACACUUGUUUAUUGACGGUAAUCUAAACAACUCAUGUACAAUAUAGUGAUUGAAUGUGUUGGAUCAUUUUUUAAUAAAAGUUUGUUAAAGUUUGUUAAACAUGCCAAGAAUUUCCUGAAGAAUGAUUCAGAGAGAGUGAGACCUAUAGUAUGCCAUUUUAGGGUAUACAUGUAUUUUGAAAAGGUAUACUACCGCCCAAUUCAUCAAUACAUGAUGAUGUAAAUGAAAAUUUACCUUCUGAUAAAAUUAACGAUUUACAUUGUGAUAUACUAGUAAAUAGGAAGAAAAUCUUUUGUUCUCAUACAUGUAUCAAAUUAUUGUGAAAUGGUCUUAGAGUAGUUAAUGAAUGAUUUCAGUAUUUGAUGGAGUUCCGAGAACCAAACAACAGAUUGAUGCCACCAGUGGGGCAUUGUUGGGAGAGAGCGAAAGAGACGCAAACAAAGUGAAAGUAUUUUACGGCCUUCUAAAAGAACCAGACAUCAACAUGCCAUUGGAGGAAGAAGAUGAACCCCCAGAGGGGGAGGACAAGCCAAAGAAAAAGAAACCAAAGAAGGAUCCUCUGAUGAUGAAGAAGUCUAAAAACGAUCCCCACGCUCCGGCAUUCAACAGAAUCCCACUACCUGAAAUGAAAGAUCAGGAUAAGAUGGAAAAAAUAACAGCCUACAGAGAAGCCUUGAAAAGAGUGAAAGUUGGCAGAGACAAUCCCCCAACAAUAUGUUUCUACACUGUCCUCAAUUCAUAUCAAGGAGUGACAUCUAUUGACAUGUCGGAGGACUCCAGCCUGCUCUGUGCUGGGUUUGCAGAUUCCACCAUUCGAGUCUUCACCACCUCCAGCCAUAAACUCAGAAGUAUGAAGACCGCUGCAGAACUAGAUAAUAUAGACAGGGACGCAGAUGAUGUUUUGGAGAGGAUGAUGGAUGACAGGUCGGCGACAGACAGUAAACUCCUGACAGGUCAUAGUGGCCCGGUCUAUGCCGCCCGCUUCAGUCGUGACAGGAAGUACCUAGUGUCUUGCUCCGAGGACGGCACAGUGAGACUGUGGAGUUUGCUGACUUGGACAAACCUUGUUUGCUACAAAGGACACAACCACCCUGUGUGGGACGUAGAGUUCAGUCCAUAUGGCCAUUACUUUGUGUCGGUCGGACAUGACAGGACAGCUCGGCUGUGGGCCACCGACCACCACGUUCCAAUCAGGAUAUUCUCAGGACAUCUCUCCGACAUGGACUGUGUGAAGUUUCAUCCCAAUUCCAACUACAUUGCUACAGGAUCCAAUGACCGCUUCAUCCGCCUGUGGGACAUCCUCAAUGGUAACUGUGUGCGGCUCUUCUCCGGGCACAAGGUACUGGAACUACCCCCAGCCACUCCAGAUCAUAAACAUACAAGCUAAUAUAGAUUAGCAGGGAUCUAUGCUUGAAGUUUUUAAUGCCUUUUUACCUGUAUAUUGUAUAAUGAUCAUGUUUCUGUUUGUAAUAGGGAUCCGUGCAAGCUCUGUGUUUCUCACCGGACGGAAGGUUUCUGGCAUCCUCUGGUAAAGUGCUGCAUUCUACAGGUCUCCAUUUCUUGCUAUAUCACAGUGUCCACCUACAGAUGACUAAUGAUGUAAUAAUAUUUUUCUAGGUGUGGACAGUGUUGUACUACUCUGGGAUAUCGCGACUGGGGGAUUGAUGGCUCAGAUGAAAGGUCACACAGACACAGUGUACAGUCUGUGCUUCAGUCGAGAUGGGGGAGUGCUGGCAUCGGGUGGUCUGGACAACAGCGUCAAACUGUGGGAUGUGAUUAAGGUGCUACAGGAAGUGGAUACGGACGCAGACACUAGCAUACCUAGCUCUGUCCACGUGAAUGACAGCACGGGUCUCCUGAUUGGUUCCUGGGCUACCAAGGCCACGCCCGUUCUCUGUAUUCACUUCACCCGCAAGAAUCUGAUGAUAGCAAGUGGGCCUGCAGCUCUCACAGAGGAAAAAUCUCCCCACAAAACAUGAGGAACCCCAUGUUAUAACAUGGGUCAAAGGACUUGAAGAAUUGUGACAAUGAUUGUAUGAUAGUAGAGAGAAGAGAGGAGAUUUUCUUAACCUGAUUAAGCUUCAGCAGCUGUAAGAAAUGAGACACCAUCCAAUAUGCUUGUAAAUGCUGGUGGUGUUUAUCUUGUGAAUGAAGGGAACACUUUGAGAGACCAUGGAGAAGGAUACCCCUGUAGCUGUGCCAAUGAUGACACGAGAUGAACUGUGAGGCAUGUGAGUGACACGACGGGUAUAGUGCUACAGAGCAGUACAGUGAUCAAAACCAUGGUAACAUGACAACAUGCUGUUCCCCAUUGACCGUGCUGCAACAGCUCCUGUAAAUCCUGUAAACUAGCAAUAUUAUACCACCUAGUCUUACAGAGGUGGGUUUUUUUCUCUAGAAAAAUGAAAUUGUGGAACUUUAUUACAUGUUAGAUGUGAAAUUGAUAAUAAAAUUGCAGAAAACCUUGUGUCUUCACACAAAUGACAAAUA
rnacentral:misc_RNA from 1 species